rnacentral:rRNA from 1 species
UACGUAGGGCGCAAGCGUUGUCCGGAAUUAUUGGGCGUAAAGAGCUCGUAGGCGGUUUGUCGCGUCUGCUGUGAAAACUCGAGGCUCAACCUCGGGCUUGCAGUGGGUACGGGCAGACUAGAGUGCGGUAGGGGAGACUGGAAUUCCUGGUGUAGCGGUGGAAUGCGUAGAGAUCGGGAAGAACAUCGGUGGCGAAGGCGGUCUGCUGGGCCGUUGCUGACGCUGAGGCGGCGACAGCGGUGGGGAGCAAACAGG